UUCGGACGCCGUGCGUACGGCUCAGUAACACGUAGGUAACCUACCCUCAGGACUGAGAUAACCCCGGGAAACUGGGGCUAAUAUUAGAUAGAUAAAAGAUACUGGAAUGUUCUUUUAUCCAAAGCUUUUGCGCCUGAGGAUGGGCCUGCGUCCGAUUAGGUUGUUGGUGGGGUAAUGGCCCACCAAGCCUACGAUCGGUACGGGCAGUGAGAGCUGAAGCCCGGAGUUGGGGACUGAGACAAGGCCCCAGGCCCUACGGGGCGCAGCAGGCGCGAAACCUCUGCAAUGCGGGAAACCGUGACAGGGGGAUCCCAAGUGCUCAUGCAUUGCAUGGGCUGUUCUUUGGUCUCAGUAACCAGAGGAGUAAGGGCUGGGCAAGACCGGUGCCAGCCGCCGCGGUAAUACCGGCAGCUCAAGUGGUAGCCGCGAUUAU
rnacentral:rRNA from 1 species